rnacentral:lncRNA from 1 species
AGUGCCAGUUCAGGCAUAGUCUGUCUGGGCUUUUGGAUAAGAAAGGGCAGUUGUAGGAGGUACUUGAUAAUAAACAAGGGUGGGCAGCAGAUUGGCUGUUGGAAAUAGGAAUGAGGGGAGAGCCGGGUGACUAGAAGGCUGCUGCUGACAUUGACAGGAGCAGACCUGAGGACAGGAUGGGAGGAAGGGUGAGCUUAGUUGAGGAAAAGUUGACUUUAGGUCACCAGAGUUCAGGCGGAGCUUUCCAAAAGGUCAGUGGAAACACAAGACAUGUACCCCAAACUCCUGAAGUGAACAGAAGCUUGAAGAAACAAAAGGCUUCUCCUCCUUGAGCCCUGGGAGAAAGUGAGGCCCCACUGACACCUCAACUUCUUACUUUGGGCCUCCAAAACUUCGAGAAAACACAUUUCUGUUGUUAAAAAAAAAAAAAAAGAAAAAAAAGACACAUACCCAAGAGAAGCAUGCCCAGAGCUGGACAUGUAGAAUUUGGAGUUACUCACACUGAGAUGAAAGGUGGGGGCAUACAAUAUUAUCCAUCGGAAGGAGCAAGGGACAAGAACAUGGGCAAAGGAGAGCAAUGGGCCCAAAUAAGGACCCGAGGAAUAAGUCAACAUGGUGUCACAUUAGAGCCCAAGCAAAAUGAAAAACUGCUAACACUGAUCCUGUCUUUAUUCAAAAGAUUUACAUUUUUCAUCACAGAUUUUGUAUUAAUUUUCAUUUUUAAAAGUAUUUCAGGGUGUUCCCUUUGUGGCGUAGUGGAAACGAAUCCAAAUAGAAUCCAUGAGGUGCAAGUUUGAUCCCUGGCCUCACUCAGUGGGUCAGGGAUCCGGCAUUGCCAUGAGCUGUGGCGUAGGUUGCAGAUGCGCCUUGGAUCCCACAGUUGCUGUGGCUGUGGCAUAGGCCAGCAGCUGUAGCUCCGAUUUGACCCCUAGCCCGGGAACUUCCAUAUGCCUUGGGUACGGCCCUAAAAAGCAAAUAAAAUAAAAUAAUAUCUUUUACUAAAAUAGUCUCACCAGCCUAGAUGCAAACCCUGGCUCUGACAUCUCUUAGGUGCAUGACCUCAAGCUAAUCACUUCACUCCCCUAAAGCUGGUGUCCUCACCUGAAAAAUAACACCUUCCUGGUAAAGUUGUCAAGUACCCUGCCCUACACAGGUACUUCCUAAAAAUUUGUUCUCAAGGCUUUCAGAUGAUGAGAAGGAAAAUGAAGAAGCUGGACAAAGAGAUGACAGGAGGAAAGAGGAGCUAGGAGAGAGGAGGGAGGCAGUGCAGCUGGAAAAUGAGGCUCCUUCAUCUUUAUAUGGACAGACCCACACAGAAUUGAGAUGCUUCGUUCACUGUCCACAAUGUAUACAUUGCUUUAAACACCUUUUUUUUUUUUAAGCUGUCUGUGACUUUCUUCCAUUUGUAUGAGGGAUGAAGAAUCAAAACCUUUCUUCCCACCAGAUGGGAAAGGCCCAGUGCUCAGUGUGGACUGGACCCUGGCAACUGUCUGACCCAGUCCACUCUCCUGCCCUUGUCUUCCAUCCUUGCAGUCCCUCUGAUUAGCACUCUCCUGAUGACAACAUAUAGCCACUGGAACAUGGCUCCAGGAGGACUGGGAGGAGCCCAGGUGAGGGAGGGGGAUCUACAUCAUUUCCUUCCCAACGCUUUCGUUCCAGAGGCUUAUAACUCCCCAGCAUGUUUUUCUCUGGUAGAAAAUGUCCAUGUUUGGUGCCUGCUCAAGGGAGAAUCUCUAUGGAAAGUUUGAGAAAGAUUCCCUCUGGCUGGUAAUGUGAAAAAAGCCUGUGCCUUUC